AUAUUAAAGGGCCGCGGUAUUUUGACCGUGCAAAGGUAGCAUAAUCAUUAGUCUUUUAAUUGAAGGCUGGAAUGAAUGGUUUGACGAAAUAUUAACUGUCUCUUUAUAAAAGAUAAAAUUUAACUUCUGAGUUAAAAGGCUUAGAUAAUUGUAAAAGACGAGAAGACCCUAUAGAUCUUUAUAUAUGGAUAUAUUUAUUUUGUUUAGGAGUAAUUUUAAUGAAUAUGUCGUUGUAUUUUGUUGGGGUGACAUGAAGAUAAAAUUAACUCUUUAUUAUUAAUACAUUGAUUUAUGAAUAAUUGAUCCGUUAUUAGCGAUUGUAAGAUAAAGUUACCUUAGGGAUAACAGCGUAAUUUUUUUUGAGAGUUCUUAUCGACAAAAAAGAUUGCGACCUCGA
rnacentral:rRNA from 1 species